rnacentral:rRNA from 1 species
CUUGUCUCAAAGAUUAAGCCAUGCAUGUCUAAGUAUAAGCAAUCUAUACGGUGAAACUGCGAAUGGCUCAUUAAAUCAGUUAUCGUUUAUUUGAUAGUACCUUACUACUUGGAUAACCGUGGUAAUUCUAGAGCUAAUACAUGCUAAAAACCCCGACUUCGGAAGGGGUGUAUUUAUUAGAUAAAAAACCAAUGCCCUUCGGGGCUCCUUGGUGAUUCAUAAUAACUUAACGAAUCGCAUGGCCUUGUGCCGGCGAUGGUUCAUUCAAAUUUCUGCCCUAUCAACUUUCGAUUGUAAGGUAGUGGCUUACAAUGGUUUCAACGGGUAACGGGGAAUUAGGGUUCUAUUCCGGAGAGGGAGCCUGAGAAACGGCUACCACAUCCAAGGAAGGCAGCAGGCGCGCAAAUUACCCAAUCCCGACACGGGGAGGUAGUGACAAUAAAUACUGAUACAGGGCUCUUUUGGGUCUUGUAAUUGGAAUGAGUACAAUUUAAAUCCCUUAACGAGGAACAAUU